rnacentral:misc_RNA from 1 species
UACGGAGGGUGCAAGCGUUAUCCGGAAUCAUUGGGUUUAAAGGGUCCGUAGGCGGGCAGUUAAGUCAGUGGUGAAAGUCUUCCGCUCAACGGGAGAACUGCCAUUGAUACUGUUGUUCUUGAGUGCUUAUGAAGUGGUUAGAAUAUGUAGUGUAGCGGUGAAAUGCAUAGAUAUUACAUAGAACACCGAUUGCGAAGGCAGAUCACUAACAAUAUACUGACGCUGAUGGACGAAAGCGUAGGUAGCGAACAGG